AUACGGAGGAUCCAAGCGUUAUCCGGAAUCAUUGGGUUUAAAGGGUCCGUAGGCGGCCUUAUAAGUCAGUGGUGAAAUCUCCUAGCUCAACUAGGAAACUGCCAUUGAUACUGUAGGGCUUGAAUUAUUGUGAAGUAACUAGAAUAUGUAGUGUAGCGGUGAAAUGCUUAGAUAUUACAUGGAAUACCAAUUGCGAAGGCAGGUUACUAACAAACGAUUGACGCUGAUGGACGAAAGCGUGGGUAGC
rnacentral:rRNA from 1 species